UGCAAGUCGAACGGCAGCGCGGGGGCUUCGGUCUCUGGCGGCGAGUGGCGGACGGGUGAGUAAUAUAUGGGAACGCGCCCGGCGGCGGGGGAUAACUCUGGGAAACCAGAGCUAAUACCGCAUGCGUUUCGCCUUUCGGGGCGAAAGAAAGCGGGGGACUUCUUCGGAGGCCUCGCACCGGCGGAGCGGCCCAUAUCCGAUUAGCUUGUUGGCGGGGUAACAGCCCACCAAGGCCGCGAUCGGUAGCUGGUCUGAGAGGACGGACAGCCACACCGGGACUGAGACACGGCCCGGACUCCUACGGGAGGCAGCAGUGGGGAAUAUUGGACAAUGGGGGCAACCCUGAUCCAGCAAUGCCGCGUGUGUGAAGAAGGCCUUCGGGUUGUAAAGCACUUUCGCGGGGGAAGAAAAAGCGAGAGGUAAUAUCUCUCGCGCCUGACGGUACCCCGAGAAGAAGCACCGGCUAACUACGUGCCAGCAGCCGCGGUAAUACGUAGGGUGCGAGCGUUAAUCGGAAUUACUGGGCGUAAAGCGUGCGCAGGCGGCCUGUCAAGUCGGGUGUGAAAUCCCCGGGCUCAACCCGGGAAUUGCGCUUGAAACCGGCGGGCUAGAGUACGGCAGAGGAAGGUGGAAUUCCGUGUGUAGCGGUGAAAUGCGUAGAUAUACGGAAGAACACUCAUGGCGAAGGCAUCCUUCUGGGCCGUAACUGACGCUCAUGCACGAAAGCGUG
rnacentral:rRNA from 1 species